GCCAGCAGCCAUAUCACCAUGCACCUUACAGCUGGGAACCCGCUGAAGCUGGUGUGAGCCUGGCCAGUACCUGGAUGGGAGACCUCCUGGGAAAACUAAGGUUGCUGCUGGAA
rnacentral:rRNA from 1 species